AUUCCAGCUCCAAUAGCGUAUAUUAAAGUUGUUGCGGUUAAAAAGCUCGUAGUUGGAUUUCUGCCGAGGAUGACCGGUCCGCCCUGUGGGUGUGCAUCUGGCUCAGCCUUGGCAUCUUCCUGAAGAACGUAGCUGCACUUGACUGUGUGGUGCGGUAUUUAGGACAUUUACUUUGAGGAAAUUAGAGUGUUUCAAGCAAGCGCACGCUUUGAAUACAUUAGCAUGGAAUAAUAAGAUAGGACCUCGGUUCUAUUUUGUUGGUUUCUAGAGCUGAGGUAAUGAUUGAUAGGGAUAGUUGGGGGCAUUCGUAUUUAAACGACAGAGGUGAAAUUCUUGGACCGUUUGAAGACAAACUACUGCGAAAGCAUUUGCCAAGAAUGUUUUCAUUG
rnacentral:rRNA from 1 species